ACCCGCGUUGUAGAAGGCAUCCAGAGCCGCGGUGUCGCCUAGCUCCAGCGUCCCGAAGGGCAGGCUGCGCAGCUGCGGGGGCGGCCGCGGCCGGGGGACCUGCGCGCAAGCCUCGCGCAGGCAGCGCAGGGGCAGCGGCUCCGCCUCGGUUCCCUCCCGAGGCUCGAGCCCGGGCUGCGGCUCCCGGGUCAGCACGUAGACCACGCUGAGCGGCCGGCUCCGCGCGCAGCCCCGGCCCGGGGGCGCCGCGAGCUGCCGGCCCCGGCUCAGCGCCACGGCCAGCGGGUCCUGCCAGCAGCUGCCGGCGCGCUCCGCCCCGGACCGGGGACACGGCCCCGCCAUGCGGGGGCGCUCAGGCGCGGGGCGCCGCGCACUGGGAACCGGGGGCGGGGCAGGAGCCUGGGCCGGCAGAUCAGGAAUCUUGGGAUCUGGAAUCCGUUCGGAAUCGGAGAAUCUCCCACGGGAUCUAGGGAUCCGGAAUACGGCCUGACGUCCCGUUCCAGGAAUCUAAAGUCCAGGGAGAAAUCCUAGCUCGGACUUGCAAGGUCCUGAGGUUCUGAAAUCCGGGAUUGGGUCCCAGGAAUCUGGGGCAUCCGGUGAUCGGCAGCUCAGAGCCACUUGGGGGAUCCUGGGAAUCGGCUCGGAGGUGCCCGCCACCUGGACUUCUCAAGGGAGCGCCCGCCAACGCUGCCCUGCCUUCACUUGUAGGCUAAGCCCAGCCCUUUCCCGGCCGACCCAGAAAGCUCCACCCUCGGCCCUGGGGCAGAGCCGCUCCCUAGCGGCUUGAGACUCAGCCUCUCCCCUCCCUUCUCUCCCGCCAGAACUUUGGAGACUGGCGGCUUCCGGAACAGCCUGUGCCCCUGUGCACGCCAAAGACUGUGGACUGCUCACAGCAAGUGCACAUAAAAUGUGUGAGGAGGCCAGGGCUAGGGAAAAGGUUCGAUAUGCAGGCCCUGCUCUGCAGGUAUCUGUUGAAUGAAUGGCUCUCUAGAGACAUCAGGGUGCGCAGAGCAUGAUGAACAAUGGGUGUCCUCCCGGGCCCAGUGAGCGCAGGCAGGGAGGGACUGGGAUGGGGGAAACCUACACCCUAGGCCGCUUGCCCGAAAGCCUUCAGUCCUGGAGUGGGACUUGGCAUCUGAGCCUUAACUGUCACUAGGGGGCUGCUUUCCCCAGGACCCAACCUGCUGUGGACCCCCGCUGACCUUUGACUUCUAGGCAGAACGUGGCCAUGGGACCUGAGAAGCACUUCCUACUCUAAACAACUCUAAACAUUUCUUUAGCCACCCCUUGAAGGAGUCAACCCCAGCCCUUUGCACUACAGCAGCUUCUCAGCUUCAAAUCCCCAAGAGUCCCCAACUUUCUUGUGUGAAUUAAUGAGUGAGGCAGCAACCUGGUAGAAGCCUCAGUGGACCCUGAAACCAAGAACUGGGGACUUAAGUUGAAUAACUUGUCCAGGAUCACUCAGCACAUGACAGCAGGGUGCAAACCCAGGACCGCCUGUCAGACUCUUAACUAUUUAAUUCUGCCACUUACUAGAAUGUGGCUUUGGGCAAAUAAACUGCUUAAAUGCUACUCAAUGGCUGUUUCAUUGCCCUGUUGCCUUGUGGAAGAAAAAGGUACCUUCCUUGGUUUGACCUUGGAUUCGAACUGACACCCAAUGAGAUAGGCAGGAAGUGGUAGAGUUUGAGAACUUGGCCUGCAACAGAGGCUGGAGUGGAAAACAGACAACUUACAAAGGACAGGCAUGGGCAACCGACAGGCUGAGAAAGCUGUGCAAUUCCCAGCCAGGGCGGUGGCUCAUGCCUGUAAUCCCACUUUGGGAGGCCAAGAUGAGUGGAUCACGAGGUCAGGAGUUCGAGACCAGCCUGGCCAACAUGGUGAAACCCCGUCUCUACUAAAAAUACAAAAAAAAGUAGCUGGGUGUGGUGGCACCUGCCUGUGAUCCCAGCUACUUGGGAGCUGAGGCAGGAGAAUCACUUGAACCUGGGAGAUGGAGGUUGCGGUGAGUGGAGAUCGUGCCAUUGCACUCCAGCCUGGGCGGGGCGACAGAGCAAGACUCCAUCUCAAAAAAAAAAAAAGCUAUGCAAUUGUGCAAUUCCUGCCACAAAGCCAUCCACUUGCAGGACCCAGAGGGCCUCGGGAAAUUGUCAAUGGAUGCUUGGAUCUCCUCUAAUCCUUCCACUGUAUGCCCCUCUGGCUCAUUGCACUCCAGCCUGGGCAGGGCGACAGAGCAAGACUCCAUCUCAAAAAAAAAAAAAAAAAAAAAGCGGCCGGGCGCAGUGGCUCACACCUGUAAUCCCAGCACUUUGGGAGGCCGAGGAGGGCAGAUCAUGAGGUCAGGAGAUUGAGACCAUCCUGGCUAACAUGAUGAAACCCCGUCUCUACUAAAAAUACAAAAAAUUCGCCGGGCGUGGUAACGGGUGCCUGUAGUUCCAGCUACUCGGGAGGCUGAGGCAGGAGAAUGGCGUGAACCUGGGAGGCAGAGCUUGCAGUGAGCCAGGAUGGUGCCACUGCACUCCAGCCUGGGCGACAGAGCGAGACUGCGUCUCAAAAACAAACAAACAAACAAACAAACAAAAAAGCUGUGCAAUUGUGCAAUUCCUGCCACAAAGCCAUCCACUUGCAGGACCCAGAGAGCCUCAGGAAAUUGUCAAUGGAUGCUUGAAUCUCCUCCAGUCCUUCCACUAUAUGCCCCUCUGGCCUUGUCUUGCACACCUCCAGAGACAGAAGCCUCACUACUUUAGAGGCUGUCCUUUCCAUCUUCCUGACUGGAAGGAAAUUCUUCCCUGAAUGGAGCUGAAACUUGUGUCCCUGCUCUGCCCUCUAGGGUUUUUUCCCAGUAACUGGAAGAGUCUUGAAAGGGCUAAAAUGAUUUUAUUUUUAAAUGUGGACAGGCAAGCAGAGGUGGUUGGCAAAGGCAAGGUGGCUGACGAUCCGGAAGCUGUACAGGAGAGAUAAGGGCACUGGCUGCCAGAGUGCCCUAUCGAAGCAUCAUCCGAACCCUGCGGUAGGGGUGGCCCACACCACGGCCUGAGGCCCAGUCAAUGCCAUAUUUGUGGGCGGCAGCCUCAGACACUGCAUAGCGACCAUUGAGAUUUGAUCGGUAACAGGAUGCAUACCACCAGGCACCGUGGACAAUCACUGCACAGUUGCUGUUGCUUGAAUCGUGGUCAGCGUCAUAGGUGGUAAAGGGCCUCCCACUGUGGAGGCUCAGGGAAUCCCCUAGCAGGGAAGGGAUGGAAAGCACCUUGGUGCCCAGCACCACGCCUGGCACCUUUGGAGAUAUAAUGCCAUGGGAGUCUCAGAGCAACUAAGAGUUGAAUUUUAUCAGGCCCCACGAGCAACACCAAGGGGCCAGGUUGUUUGCGCAGGGUUACUCGGCUGGUUGAAGCAGCGGCAGGACUUGAACUCGGGACUGUCUGGCUCCAAAGCUCCCAGCUUUUCCCCCUGUCUUACCCCCUCCAGAAUCCCCGGCCCCCCUCUAGCUCCUUUGUCUUCUCUCAGCUCCCAUCCAGUCUGAGCAACUCUGCUAGGAAAAGCUGGGAGGAACCUCUUAGGUGCCUGGCCAGGAAAGGUGGUUCCCUGAGGCACUCCCUCAUAACCACUUCCCUCUUUUAAAUCUCUCCCCAAUAGUCACUGUUUCUCUGAAAGAAGACUUCCGUGGUUCCUCUUCCAAAGCAGAGAACACUAACACUCAACAGAGCCUCAGGCGGCACCCAAAACUUCCUCCUUGCCUCCCUGCGCUCCCCCCGCCUUUUUUUUUUUUUCUGAGAUGGAGUCUCGCUCUGUCGCCCAGGCUAGAGUGCAGUGACACUCUCUUGGCUCGCUGCAACCUCUGCCUCCCAGAUUUAAGUGAUUCUCCUGCCUCAGCCUCCCGAGUAGCUGGGAUUACAGGCACCCUCCACCACGCCCGGCUAAUUUUUUUGUAUUUUUAGUAGAGACGGGGUUUCACCAUGUUGGCCAGGUUGGGUUUGAACUCCUGACCUCAAGUUAUCUGCCCGCCUCGGCCUCCCAGAGUGCUAGGGUUACAGGCAUGAGCCACCGUGCCCGGCCUCCCUGCCCAUUUUAUAGAGGAGGAAACUGAGGCUCAGUGGAGGGGUAGGACUUGCCCAAGGUCACAUAAGUACUAAAUGGCAGAGAUGGAUUCAAACUCAGGUCUGUUUGCCUCCAGAUCCCAAAUUCUUCACUGUUGCACCAUCCUGUUUCAUGAUUGCCAUUUCUCAGAUGCGGAAACUAAGGCCCACAGAGGAGACAGGAUUGCCCUGGGUCAUUCAUGGGGGCAGUGGCAGCACUGGGAAAGGAUCCAGCCUCCUUCCUCUGCUCCCCUUAGGCUCACUCACCUGCAGUGCCCUCUGAGAACUUGCCCAGUGCCAGCUGGUAGUGGUCUACCUCACCGAGGAGGCGGAAGGUCGCAUAGUGGGCGAAAGUACGGUUACCAUUAAAGUCUUCCAGCUCUACCCGCAGCUCCCAGUUACCUGGAAAGAAGGGGAGGCAGGGAUGGAGGAAUCCUCAGUUCUUGGGGGUGGGGCAGGGAUUCAGGAUGGCAGACAGUAACCCCCAGACUCCAGGACCCUGCUGGGAACUCACCCUGGAGAGUAAGCUGGUGCAAAUUCUCAUUUCCCAGCCAGAAUUCAGACUCUUGGUUCCCAAAACCUGCUCUGUAGGAGGACCAAGAGCGGAAGAAAUCCACAGAACCAUCCUGGCGCCUCUGAAACACCUGGGGGAGGGGGGGCACAGCAGCUAUUACUCCAGGCUGGGCACUGGCAGCUGAGGGUGCAGGAACUGUGAGGGGUGGGUGGAUACCCACUCUCUCUUUGGAUUGGGGCCUGUUGAUAAAAUGGGGAUCCUUCAAGUUAGCUUUGAAUAUUUCUAUGAACUCUACAUUCCCUUGUUAACUUUUACUGACACUCAACUUCAUGCCACAGCCUUGCAAGCCCUGGGAAGACUGAAUUGACAAAACACUGUCCCCACCCACAGGAGAUGGCCAGCGCUGCUGGGUGUCAGUCAAAAUAACCCAAUUUCAUUUACUAUAAGAACCAAGAACGCUUGGUGGCUCAUGCCUGUAAUUCCAGCACUUUGGGAGGCCGAGGCGGGUGGAUCACUUGAGGUCAGGAGUUUGAAACCAGCCUGGCCAACAUGGUGAAAUCCCGUCUCUACUAAAAAUACAAAUAUUAGCCGGGUGUGGUGGCUCACACCUGUAGUUCCAGCUACUCAGGAGGCUGAGGCACAAGAACUGCUUGAACCUGGGAGGUGGAGGUUGCAGUGAGCCGAGAUCACACCACUGCAC
rnacentral:lncRNA from 10 species